CCGCAGGUUGGAGAAGCCCAGGGGAAGGGGCACCGCGGGGAGAAGAAGCCAGGGUGGCCGGCCCGCCUCUGCUCCCACCCCGGGCAGCGGCGCAAAGCCCCAGGCAAGCGCUGGUAGGGAGCAUCUCGGUGCUUCCCAAGUAGUGAGCAUCAGUGACAGCUUUCAAAUACAUGUUGCCUGAGAAUAUCUGCCUUCUUCCAAGCAGGUGAGGAUACAGUGAGGAGGUGGCCCUCUGCCAACCAGGACCCUACAGGCACCCUGAUCUUCGACUUCCGGGCUCCAGAGCUGUAAAAACUACAUUUGUGGUGUCCAACUGCCCAGUCUACGGUCCUUUUGUUAAAGCCGUGCAAGCUAAGCAGGAUGCUUUUUCCCCUGGGAGUCCCAGAAGUACUUUGGACUCCGCUCAUUCUAAUGGGCAGUCGCUGUAGGCCUCUGGACGUGUCUUGGAGUCUCGUUUCUUCAUGAGUAAAGUCUAAGAGCUCAACUGGAGAAUCUCUCAAUCGACACCUUUUAAUCUAACACUUUUAUAUGCCUGCAUCCCAACUGGCAUUUG